CUAUAGUGUACUUCAAAGCCUCUCUUCAAAGGCUUCACUACCUGCAGAACACCAAAAUGACCUUUAUUUCACAGAGAGAUAAAGCCACACUGGGCAGCAGUGCCAGCCAGUGAGGAUGGAGUGGUGGCACAGGAUGCUCUGCACAUGGAUUUGUGUCAGCUUCAGUCAGAGAGGUGGUUAAUAGAGGCUCUGCCUGGGCAUUUGGAUGGAAAUUAAUGCAUGGAGGAGACAAAGCCGUG
rnacentral:lncRNA from 12 species